rnacentral:rRNA from 1 species
GGGGAAUAUUGCACAAUGGAGGAAACUCUGAUGCAGCGAUGCCGCGUGAGGGAAGAAGGUUUUAGGAUUGUAAACCUCUGUCUUCAGGGACGAAAAAAGGACGGUACCUGAGGAGGAAGCUCCGGCUAACUACGUGCCAGCAGCCGCGGUAAUACGUAGGGAGCGAGCGUUGUCCGGAAUUACUGGGUGUAAAGGGAGCGUAGGCGGGGUCGCAAGUCAGAUGUGAAAACUAUGGGCUUAACCCAUAAACUGCAUUUGAAACUGUGGUUCUUGAGUGAAGUAGAGGUAAGCGGAAUUCCUAGUGUAGCGGUGAAAUGCGUAGAUAUUAGGAGGAACAUCAGUGGCGAAGGCGGCUUACUGGGCUUUAACUGACGCUGAGGCUCGAAAGCGUGGGGAGCAAACAGGAUUAGAUACCCUGGUAGUCCACGCCGUAAACGAUGAUUACUAGGUGUGGGGGGACUGACCCCUUCCGUGCCGCAGCAAACGCAAUAAGUAAUCCACCUGGGGAGUACGACCGCAAGGUUGAAACUCAAAGGAAUUGACGGGGGCCCGCACAAGCAGUGGAGUAUGUGGAUUAAUUCGAAGCAACGCGAAGAACCUUACCAGGUCUUGACAUCGUAUGCAUAGCUCAGAGAUGAGUGAAAUCUCUUCGGAGACAUAUAGACAGGUGGUGCAUGGUUGUCGUCAGCUCGUGUCGUGAGAUGUUGGGUUAAGUCCCGCAACGAGCGCAACCCUUACUGUUAGUUGCUACGCAAGAGCACUCUAGCAGGACUGCCGUUGACAAAACGGAGGAAGGUGGGGAUGACGUCAAAUCAUCAUGCCCCUUAUGACCUGGGCCUCACACGUACUACAAUGGCUGUAAACAGAGGGAAGCAAAGCCGCGAGGUAGAGCGAACCCCUAAAAGCAGUCUUAGUUCGGAUUGUAGGCUGCAACCCGCCUACAUGAAGUCGGAAUUGCUAGUAAUCGCAGAUCAGCAUGCUGCGGUGAAUACGUUCCCG